rnacentral:rRNA from 1 species
GUAAUUCCGGUGAAGAUGCCGGAUACCUGCGACAGGACGGAAAGACCCCAUGGAGCUUUACUGUAGCUUGACAUUGGGUCUGGGUACUACAUGUACAGGAUAGGUGGGAUGCUUUGAAACCAGGACGCCAGUUUUGGCGGAGCCAUCCUUGGGAUACCACCCUUGUAGUACUGGGACUCUAACCAUAGGCCAUGAAUCUGGUCUUGGGACACUGUCAGGUGGGCAGUGUGACUGGGGCGGUCGCCUCCCAAAAGGUAACGGAGGCGCUCAAAGGUUCUCUCAGUACGGUCGGAAAUCGUACGUAGAGUGUAAAGGCAAAAGAGAGCUUGAUUGCAAGACAUACAGGUCGAGCAAGGAUGAAAAUCGGACUUAGUGAUCCGGUG